UUUGAAAUUGUCCAAAAACAACAGGAGAAGUAAGUGCAUGUGUUUAAGUGUUUAAGUCACCGAACUUUCAGCUAUGGUAGGCACAGAAGCACGUCCUCCUGCAUACGUGUUCGCCUUAUUACUGCCUGAUCAAGUACAUACCGCCUAUUUUCUAAUUUUUCAU
ensembl:ncRNA K03H9.14 ncRNA